GGCAGAAGCAGCAAUUGUCAAUUACUUUGGUCUAGGUGACACACUUGGUGGCCACCUUGAUGACAUGGAGAAGGAUUGGAGUAAGCCUAUUGUUAGCAUGAGCUUGGGCUGUAAAGGCAUUUUCCUUAUCGGGGGAAAGUCUAGGGAGGUUCCACCUCUUGCAAUGUUUGUUCGAAGUGGUGAUGUUAUUCUUAUGGCAGGACAAGCAAGGGAAUGCUUCCAUGGUGUCCCUAGGAUCUUCACUGAUAAAGAAAAUGCUGAGAUAUCCUCCCUUGAAUUGCUGUUUUCUGAUGAAGAGGAUUCUGCUUUGUUGGAGUACAUUAAGACUUCUAGAAUCAACAUCAAUAUUAGACAAGUAUUCUAAAUCUAGAAUGAGUUGUCUUUUGAAAGUUU
rnacentral:misc_RNA from 1 species